rnacentral:rRNA from 1 species
UACGUAGGUCGCAAGCGUUGUCCGGAUUUACUGGGCGUAAAGAGCGCGCAGGCGGCUGGUCAAGUCCGAUGUGAAAUCUCCCGGCUUAACUGGGAAACUGCAUCGGAAACUGAUCGGCUUGAAGGUGGGAGAGGGUAGUGGAAUUCCCGGUGUAGUGGUGAAAUGCGUAGAUAUCCGGAGGAACACCGGUGGCGAAGGCGGCUUCCUGGACCGACACUGACGCUGAGGCGCGAAAGCUAGGGGAGCAAACGGG